AUGAUGCUUUUAGGCACCGAUAGUAGAGAAGUAGCUACGCUGAGAUGUGUGAUUUUUUAAUAUUUUUAGACAGUGCCAAACGGCAGCAGACGAUUCAGGAGACGUCGGCAGUGACGCACUAGAAGCGCCCCACGUGUGAGGACAGUGAUCAGCAUCGUCAGGGGUCGUCAGCUACCGCUACACGUGCCUGAAAUACGAUAGAGAAACAAUUUCAAGUAUCGAAAAGCGGAUAGAAUCAAAGCACAAUAUAUUACUAUCAAUAUGGGCAACAAUCAAUCCAA